rnacentral:rRNA from 1 species
UACAGAGGGUGCAAGCGUUGUUCGGAAUUAUUGGGCGUAAAGCGCGUGUAGGCGGCUUUGCAAGUCGGGUGUGAAAGCCCUCAGCUCAACUGAGGAAGUGCGCCCGAAACUGCAGAGCUUGAGUACCGGAGAGGAUGGCGGAAUUCCCCAAGUAGAGGUGAAAUUCGUAGAUAUGGGGAGGAACGACCGGUGGCGAAGGCGGCCAUCUGGACGGAGUACUGACGCUGAGA